UCGGAUAUGGUGUAAAAGGCUAACAUUGCUGCUUUUCAUCGCGCCUAACUGGAAAUCGUGAUUCUUCAAGUGCGGCAGCUCGGGGUUCGAUUCCCCGUAUCCGAG